CCAUAUGCUCGGGCGAUAUUGCCAACUUAGCCUUGAACUGGCCCCAGAAGCAAUAAGGCAGGGAUCUCCUUCCAAAGCUCCCAAGCCCAGCAUUCAACCAGGCAGUUGUCUCCGUUUCAUGUCCCUUUUGGCUAGGUGGAUAGCGAAGUUCAGCUUCUCUUCGGAUACGACGGAGAACGGGAUGGAGCUC